CCGAUAGCGGAUAGUACCGUGAGGGAAUGGUGAAAAGUACCGCGGGAGCGGAGUGAAAUAGUACCUGAAACCGUGUGCCUACAAGCCGUGGGAGCGUCGCUCAUUGGGUUUACCCAAUGGGUCGUGACUGCGUGCCUUUUGAAGAAUGAGCCUGCGAGUUAGCGGUGUGUAGCGAGGUUAACCCGUGUGGGGAAGCCGUAGCGAAAGCGAGUCCGAAUAG
rnacentral:rRNA from 1 species